GUGUCCUACGGGGCGCAGCAGUAGGGAAUCUUCCACAAUGGGCGAAAGCCUGAUGGAGCAACGCCGCGUGGGUGAAGAAGUAUUUCGGUAUGUAAAGCUCUAUCAGCAGGGAAGAAAAUGACGGUACCUGACUAAGAAGCCCCGGCUAACUACGUGCCAGCAGCCGCGGUAAUACGUAGGGGGCAAGCGUUAUCCGGAUUUACUGGGUGUAAAGGGAGCGUAGACGGAAUUGCAAGUCUGAUGUGAAAAUCCGGGGCCCAACCCCGGAACUGCAUUGGAAACUGUAUUUCUAGAGUGUCGGAGAG
rnacentral:rRNA from 1 species